AAAUAAAAAAAGAAGGAAAGAAAAGAUUUCUCAUCGAAUAUCUUGAAAUAGAAAUCUUGAAAUAGAAUUACAAUUUCUUCUUUGAUACGAAUACCAUUUUCCAAAAUUUAUGAAUUUAUCGUUUCUCAAUAUUUCCAUUCGAAAACCUACUCCAUGAAAAAUUAUUCUUUAUUUUAAUAUAAACAUAACUCGACAAAAAACGUUAGCCAUUUAAUAAUAUCUAGGAUGAAAAAACCUUCGAUACGAUCUUUCAACUCUCAACUCUUCCACAAACUCUCCAUACUCUCCAUUUUGAUCGUACAAUAAACGAAGGCAAACGAAGCGGCAAUAAACCGCAAUAAGAAGGGGAAAAUCUGGCCAGGAGUGAACGGAGUCAAGAUUUCUCUGCUUUUGUCAGGGCUUGCCCCCCUCCCCCGCAUUUGGUUGGGCCAUAGAUAUUUCACUCGCCGCUCGAUUUUUCGUAUAUCAUCCCUCCAGCAACACAUGGCGCCAUAUCCAGAGAAGGGAAUCGCUCGAGAGUGUCGAGGAGGAGGAGGAAGAGAGGGGGAUGCGUUCCAAAAGCGAAGGAGCAAUCGCGUGCGAGGAUGCUGCCUUAAUUUAUCACCCCGUUCCCCGAUGUGGCCCACCACGCGUCUCUUUUCGAGACAUGUCUCCACGAGACAGAGAGAGAGAGACACAUACACACCUUCCACAUCCCUCUUCCCAUCCAUCCCCCGAAUCCCCGAGAAUGCCUCUUAAUCAGCGCUGAUAUAGCUGUCGUCUCUGCUCCAGGUAAACACCGUUCCUCCAUUGUACACCGGCUCAGACGUGCCCUUCCGGGGAAGCUCCGUAGAUGUCGCUCGAGCAGUCGAGGACAAUAACGCGGACAGAUAGACGGUGGUGACGUCCCCCAGGAAUGCGAUUGAACUGCUGAUCAAGCGUUUCGAUCCAGAAUUAACUUUGGAAAGAUUGGAUUCUUUUCGAAUUGAAGGAAGGAAAAGAUUUAACUUUCGAAUUAAUGGAUCAGUGAGAGAAAAUUUCGAGUGAAAACAAAAGUGAUACUAGUAACAGCGAUGAAUAAAUGGCGAAAAUGUUAAAAUCGAUGGAAUGGAUACGAGUGUUGAGACUUGAGAGAAAUGUCGCGGGCGCGCAGUGUGCGCUACAAUUCAUCAGGGCACGGUGCAUUAGCAUAUAUUUCACCUACGGGCUAUGACGGUCCGCUGCGGCACCCGUGCUAACUCGACUUUGUCGUCCGCCGGCCAGAAGUUACGCUGAUAACUUUCGGCCAACGGGUAACGAGUUGAACUGGAAACCUCGAAAAAGGCAGGCAAGUGGCUUCGUUAUCUACCAAACACACUCGCUCCCCGACAGAUUUUCUCCUCUCUCUCGCUGAGAAUGAUUUAAUUUCCAUCGUCUAAAUUAUUAUUAUUAUUAUUAUUAUUACUAUUAUUCGAAUCAUCGAAUACGUUCGUUUGAUCACGUUGUUCGAACUUUGUCCUCUCUAACCUGUUUAACCUGCAUCUCGAUAUCUAAUUUAGUUGUUUAUAACAAGUUUCCAACUUGCAGGUGGAGAAAGAGCGAAUGUUCCUCGUCGGAAAUUUUAAGUUCGAACGGAAAAGUUAGAUUAAAUUACUUAAUCGGAAUAAGCAGAUCAUUCGCCUGUUCUUCGAUCCUCGACAUAUACUUCGUUCUUCCUUUUUCGCGCCUAUUUCACCCCGAAAUGAAAGUAUUCUGUAUAGAGUUGAGAUAAUUGAAAGACUCGAAUUGUUCCACACGAUAAUUUCUUUCAAUUUUCUAACCUCGAUCUUUCUCGUCAUAAUCUCCACUCAUUGAUCCAUAAAAUAUUCUUUCUAUAACUUUUCUUUCUUCCCAUAGAUCCUCUCAUAAUUAGAAGCGGGCUCAAUUUUUAAGACGAUUUUUAAUUGGAGGAUCCAAUAAUACCAUUCGAACGAAUUGAAGAUAAACACAGCCGUUGUUCCGGUUGUUCCCGUCGGAAGGGCGUUUUCCUAGGGCGCAGCCUGCCGCUAAUUGCUCAACCACCUGCCGUUAUUUAAAUUUACUCACGGAUCCCGUUUCGCCUCGCACGGACGCGUAAUUUAAGAAUUUGUUACACGUUCGCAUAACUGGAUGCAAUGUCUUUCCCUCGCCUUCGAAGACGAAACGUCUUUCCCUUCCUUUUUUCUUCCUUUUCUUCACGAUCACUUCUCUCGUUCGUUUGCACCAAUUUCUCGCGAGGAUACAAAAAAUUUCAAUCGUUUGCCAAUUUUUUUUACCUUUUCGUCCAAGUGGUUUCGUUGCGUAGAUGGUUUUUUUUUGAUCAGAUCCGAAGGAGAAAUUUUAAUUGUAUAUUUGGAAUUGGACUUUAAUGUUAUUUACUUGUAUAUAUUGUACAUAUAAAUUGGUUUUCCUUUUUUUUUUUUU